UGUCACAUUCCAGGUUCUAAAUUGUUAAGUGGUUUAAUACUUAUGUACAGUUGUGUGCCAAAAUUGUUACUGUUUCUUCUUUUGCUUAAUUAUGCCCUUACCGUAUACGCGGAGUUUGUGGAUUAUUGCGAUUUUUGCGGUCAUGUAGUACACAGGUCUCCUUCCGAAAGGUUCCCGAGAAGACUGGGACAUAUGAGGGAAGUAUUUACGAAGAAGUUUCGCCAAAAAUGUCGUUGUUGUAGUUGUCAACAAAACAGAAGGCGCCAAAUACAAUCCCUGUUGAAGCACUCCCUUCAUCCAGCUCAUUUUUUACCAACCCUGUUCAGAAAAAAAUGGAACAUCAACGAAUAUGCACCGGAAAGACCCCUGCGGAGAAUGUGUAAGAUGUAAAAUGCAGUUGUCAGAAUGCCGUUGUGCAGAAAACAAGGAAAUAGAAGUGGAUGUUGAAAUAGAGUGUAAAAAAGCAGCGGUGCCAUCCUGUAAAAUUAAAAAAGCUCCCUCGUCGUGCAAACCGCCUGCGCCAGUUUGCAGAGGCAAACCACCUAGAAAAUCAUCCUGUAGAAAGAAACCGAUCCCUUUAAAAAUAAAAACGUGUCGUUGUAAACCAAGAAAGGUAUGCUGUGAACCACCCCGUCAGCCACAACCAUUGCCGAAUGAGUGUUUACCACCCCCUAGCGAAGGGCAACUCCUCUGUAGUGAACCGCAGGCACCCCCAAAUGACUGUAUACCACCCGCGAAUGAACCACAAGUGGAAUGCAGUGAACAAGAACUUUUACCAUCUUCCAAUGAUCCACCGGUAUCACAAACCACAUUUAAUAUAUGCGUUUCUUCGCCCAUUGAGGAACCCCAAAACCUCGAACAAUCGACACCCAGAAAAUCAGAACAAUUAGCCUCCAAGAAAUCGUGGAAACAACAAGAACUUGCAUGUUGUUGUCCACAAAAGCCAGACUGCGAACCAAGUCCAUUGGUUCAUAUACCAAAAUCAGACUUGUCCACUAUUCCAAAAGGGGAAUCAGGUGGAGAAUAGCUUUCCUCAGUCAAUUUUUAAACUGAUACGAAUUAUACUCAAAAUAUCUUUAAGGUUUAUCGUCGGUCACCAAUUGUAAAGAAAAAUGCAUAUGCUGUUCUUGUCGAACAAGGACGGGACCAGACGUAAUAACUACACGAGUUUACAACUUUCUUCAAAAUAUUAAGAAACAUAUAUGCAAACCAGAAUGAACUUGUUUAUUUGAAACAAUUUCUUGGUCUGUCUGGUUUCCCUUUCUGUUUCUGGAUUUAAAGGAUGUGCGAUUUGUGGUUAUUCUAAACAUUGUCCACGGAAAUCUGUUAGGGACCCCAGAAUGGCUUACUAUUCUGGUAAUCCGAAACUGGUUAGUCCAAAGCAAUACUAUUCCGACAAAACUUAUGUCGAACCGACCCACAAACAGUAUGAGUCCCAGAAACCAUCCCCUAAAGUGAUUUACAAGGAAAAUGUGAAUCGUCCCCCGGCAAGAUCUACUUCAAAACCUACAGUAUGUCGACCAUGUUAGAAUUCACAAUUAGAUUGGUUAUCGAAGCAGGAACGGUGCAGACUUAAAAAAAACAGAGCAAAAUUGAGCAAAAAUUGAACAAAUAUUUAUUGAUGAACUAGAACUAACUUUAAAUAAAAAUC